GUUAAUGUAGAAAUAGUUACCUUUGUGAUUCCAGUGUCAUUGUACUGGUCAUGUUGGAAAGUCCUGCAUAAUAUCCUUGAAGGCUGACAUUGUUUAUGUACCUUGCCAAAAUGUAACCAUUGCAUUUUGCUUUUUUGUUAAUGUAUAUACCCACUCUGUUUUGGUUUUACACUCUCGCUUAAAUUGUUACCUCCCAUGAAAUCUGGCAAUUCAUGGGAAAACCUGCUCGUUUUUCUCAGCAGUUGACACACAGAGGCCGCUUGUAUCUCAUGACGGCAUCGACCUCGUCAUUGGGACAGCAAGGGACGACGGAAAGGUCUACAUUGGAUGCGGCCUCUGGGUCAGCAAGGAGGCUUGGGGGACAUUGUUCCGGGCCACGUCCGAUUCAAUGUUCUGCCGUCUGGCAUCUACAAUGUUUUGGACCCCAGACGAGCUGAAGAAUCGGAGCGUGACCGGAACAAUGUCAAACAAGUCUCGGUCAAAGGGAAGGACCGAGGCCAGACCAGCCCUGACGCCACAGAAGCUGUCGUCCCUAAAAGGCCUCUACCGUACCUUCUUGGGGACCAGUAUAGGGCCAGAGGAAGAGAAAAAAAGAAUGAAGGAUGUGCGGCGGCACCUUGCUCAAAAGCUUGCCGACGUGCAAAGAAAAUAACAAAAUAUAAUUCCUUUACUUCAUUCCUUUACUUCAUUAUUAUUACUUCCUUUAC